ensembl:snoRNA SNORD15 Small nucleolar RNA SNORD15
CUUCAGUGAUGACACGAUGACGAGUCAGAAUGGUCACAUCCUGCUCUGGGUCCGUGUCGGUGCCACGUUCUGUGGUGCUGUGCACGGUUCCUUUUGCAAUAGUGUCCUGGUAACUGAUUGAUUAGAGGCAUUUGUCUGAGAAGG